GAUGAACGCUGGCGGCGUGCUUAACACAUGCAAGUCGAACGAAGCACUUUAUUUGAUUUCCUUCGGGACUGAUUAUUUUGUGACUGAGUGGCGGACGGGUGAGUAACGCGUGGGUAACCUGCCUUGUACAGGGGGAUAACAGUUGGAAACGGCUGCUAAUACCGCAUAAGCGCCCGGCAUCGCAUGAUGCAGUGUGAAAAACUCCGGUGGUAUAAGAUGGACCCGCGUUGGAUUAGCUAGUUGGUGAGGUAACGGCCCACCAAGGCGACGAUCCAUAGCCGACCUGAGAGGGUGACCGGACACAUUGGGACUGAGACACGGCCCGAACUACUACGGGAGGCAGCAGUGGGUAAUAUAGCACAAUGGGCGAAAGCCUGAUGCAGCGACGACGCGUGAGCGAAGAAGUAUUUCGGUAUGUAAAGCACUAUCAGCAGGGAAGAUAAUGACGGUACCUGACGAAGAAGCACCGGCUAAAUACGUG
rnacentral:rRNA from 1 species